AAGCUUAUAGCAUAAUAAAAUGCCUUUCAUUUACAUUGAAAAGAUAUCAUAGAUUAAGCUUU
rnacentral:tRNA from 1 species